CUUGAAUCCCGUCCCUGCCGCGGGGCUGCCUGGGAAUUGUAGUCCUUGUUGCGCUCUGUCCCGCGUCAGGACUUUUUGCCCUCUGCUCCCGAGCCCCUCAGGCAGCCACCCCCGUGGGCACACGCCCAGGAGCUGUUCCUGCCCCGCGCUCCCUCCCUCCACCUUUCACUUCCCAGCCGCAAACAUCUCGGAAGCUUUGAAACUCAGCAAAGAAGGGAAAUCCACUGAGAACAGUCUGUUAAGGGAAGGCUGCAGAGUUCCAAUAUCAGAUGGCCGAAAGCAAUUCAGAAAUCCUCUGUCCCCAAGGACACCCGCUGCCGUUCAGAGGUAGCAGGAGAGGGGUUGGAAUAAAUCAUUUCCUCUGAUCUUGUUAGUGUUGAGA
rnacentral:lncRNA from 1 species